UACAGAGGUCUCAAGCGUUGUUCGGAUUCAUUGGGCGUAAAGGGUGCGUAGGCGGCGCGGUAAGUCGGGUGAUGAAAUCUUGGAGCUUAACUCCGAAACUGCAUUCGAUACUGCCGUGCUUGAGGACUGGAGAGGAGACGUAGGUAAUUUGACGGUGUAGCGGUGAAAUGCGCAGAUAUCAGGAAGAACACCCGUGGCUAAGGCGGCUCUCUAGUACGGUACUGACGCUGAGACGCGAAAGCGUGGGGAGCGAACAGG
rnacentral:rRNA from 1 species